rnacentral:lncRNA from 1 species
CGAGGGAGAGGCCAUAGCCAGCUUCGAAGGCGUGGGGAAGACCGUCGUCCCACCACCCUCUACAGGAAUUUUGGGGAGGAAUUUGCGUCGUGGUCAUCGUGUCUCAGAGCUCCGACUUGGAGGCUAUCCUCAGGAUCAUCAAGGAUCGGGUUAAGCCUCACACUAGCAGUCACGAGCAACAGGUCAGCUCGAAGAAGAACGUUGGCCUCAUCGCGGCGGCCGCAACGGCCGCAAGGGUCACGUCACCCGAGCUACGUCAUCUGUCGUUACCAAAUGUUGCAGAUCUGACACCUCCGAGCACAAGCGCGACAAGGAUUGCCUCAAUCUAAAUUUCUAGGAUAAAACUCGUUGGGCACUUGAAAGGGAAACGGGUAAAAAUAUGGCAAUCUUAAUUUUGCAAUCAUGUGUAUAUAUAUUGGGAACAAAUGAAAGGCAACAUCUGUCCUAGAGAAUUGCUCAUGUGAAUGAAUAUGCACUUCUGCCCUCGAAAUUCAGUUUCUGACAUUGUUCACUUUGAUUGGUCACACCUUUGUUUUUGCCACAAAUUUUCACUGAAAAAUUAUAUGUUAACUCUUGUUAGGUACUUUGGCCUUGAUUGAAGACGUAUGGUCUGCCGCAACCCUAGAUCAUGGCAAGUUGAAGAAAACUUGUUAU